rnacentral:rRNA from 1 species
AGAGUUUGAUUCUGGCUCAGAACGAACGCUGGCAGCGUGGAUUAGGCAUGCAAGUCGAACGGGAAUCCCUAGUAUAGCAAUAUAUUGGGGAGGAUAGUGGCGCAAGGGCGAGGAACGCGUGGGCAAUCUACCCUUGAGUUGGGGAUAACCUGCCGAAAGGUGGGCUAAUACCGAAUGUGGUCUUCUUCCGCAUGGAAGGAUGACUGAAGGCGGGGAUCCUUCGGGACCUGCCGCUCGAGGAGGAGCUCGCGUCCUAUCAGCUAGUUGGUGAGGUGACGGCUCACCAAGGCUAUGACGGGUAGCUGGUCUGAGAGGAUGGUCAGCCGCACUGGGACUGAGACACUGCCCAGACUCCUACGGGAGGCUGCAGUCGAGGAUCUUUUGCAAUGGGCGCAAGCCUGACAAAGCGACGCUGCGUGGAGGAUGAAGGCCUUCGGGUUGUAAACUCCUGUCAUUCGGGAACAAUACUGUGGAAGCUAAUACCUUCUGCGAUUGAUGGUACCGGAAGAGGAAGCCACGGCUAACUCUGUGCCGGCAGCCGCGGUAAUACAGAGGUGGCGAGCGUUGUUCGGAUUUACUGGGCGUAAAGGGUGCGUAGGUGGCUUCGUAUGUCGGGUGUGAAAUCCCACGGCUUAACUGUGGAACUGCGCCCGAAACUGCGGGGCUAGAGUGCAGGAAGGGAGAGCGGAAUUCUUGGUGUAGCGGUGAAAUGCGUUGAUAUCAAGAGGAACACCGGUGGCGAAGGCGGCUCUCUGGAAUGCAACUGACACUGAGGCACGAAAGCUGGGGGAGCAAACAGGAUUAGAUACCCUGGUAGUCCCAGCCUUAAACGGUGUGCACUUGGUGUGGGAGGAAUUAACCCCUCCCGUGCCGGAGCUAACGCGUUAAGUGCACCGCCUGGGGAGUACGGCCGCAAGGCUAAAACUCAAAGAAAUUGACGGGGGCCCGCACAAGCGGAGGAGCAUGUGGCUUAAUUCGAUGCAACGCGAAGAACCUUACCUGGGCUUGACAUGCAGCUGCAGGCCGGAUGAAAGUUCGGCGGCCUUCGAGGGUGCUGCACAGGUGCUGCAUGGCUGUCGUCAGUUCGUGCCGUGAGGUGUUUGGUUAAGUCCAGCAACGAACGCAACCCUUGUGUCUAUUUGCCACCCCCGAUGAUGAGUUGGGGAGCACUCUAGACAGACUGCCCGUGCAAGCGGGAGGAAGGUGGGGAUGACGUCAAGUCAGUAUGGCCCUUACGCCCAGGGCUGCACACGUGCUACAAUCGGAGGUACAGAGGGAAGCGAAACCGCGAGGUGGUGCAAAUCCCUAAAAACCUCCGCCAGUUCAGAUUGAAGUCUGCAACUCGACUUCAUGAAGCCGGAUUCGCUAGUAAUGGCGCAUCAGCUACGGCGCCGUGAAUACGUUCCCGGGCCUUGUACACACCGCCCGUCACAUCAUGAAAGCCGUCUGCACCCGAAGUCACUGUUCGAACCUGCAAAGGGAGUAGGUGCCUAAGGUGUGGGUGGUGAUUGGGAUGAAGUCGUAACAAGGUA